AAAUCUGGCGUCUUUGGCGUCCGAGUUGUAAUUUGCAGAGGGCGCUUUGGCAUUGGCAGCGGUCCAAGUUCCUUGGAACAGGACGUCACAGAGGGUGAGAAUCCCGUACGUGGUCGCUAGCCUUUACCGUGUAAAGCCCCUUCGACGAGUCGAGUUGUUUGGGAAUGCAGCUCUAAAUGGGAGGUAAAUUUCUUCUAAAGCUAAAUACUGGCCAGAGACCGAUAGCGCACAAGUAGAGUGAUCGAAAGAUGAAAAGCACUUUGGAAAGAGAGUUAAAAAGCACGUGAAAUUGUUGAAAGGGAAGCGCUUGCAGCCAGACUUGCCUGUAGUUGCUCAUCCGGGUUUUUACCCGGUGCACUCUUCUAUAGGCAGGCCAGCAUCAGUUUGGGCGGUUGGAUAAAGGUCUCUGUCACGUACCUCCUCUCGGGGAGAACUUAUAGGGGAGACGUAAUGCAACCAGCCUGGACUGAGGUCCGCGCAUCUGCUAGGAUGCUGGCGUAAUGGCUGUAAGCGGCCCGUCUUGAAACACGGACCAAGGAGUCUAACAUCUAUGCGAGUGUUUGGGUGUCAAGCCCGAGCGCGUAAUGAAAGUGAACGGAGGUGGGAACCUUUCGGGGUGCACCAUCGACCGAUCCUGAUGUCUUCGGAUGGAUUUGAGUAAGAGCAUAGCUGUUGGGACCCGAAAGAUGGUGAACUAUGCUUGAAUAGGGUGAAGCCAGAGGAAACUCUGGUGGAGGCUCGCAGCGGUUCUGACGUGCAAAUCGAUCGUCAAAUUUGGGCAUAGGGGCGAAAGACUAAUCGAACUAUCUAGUAGCUGGUUCCUGCCGAAGUUUCCCUCAGGAUAGCAGUAACGUUUUCAGUUUUAUGAGGUAAAGCGAAUGAUUAGAGGCCUGGGGGUUGAAACAACCUUCACCUAUUCUCAAACUUUAAAUAUGUAAGAAGUCCUUGUUACUUAAUUGAACGUGGACAGUUGAAUGUAUCGUUACUAGUGGGCCAUUUUUGGUAAGCAGAACUGGCGAUGCGGGAUGAACCGAACGCGGGGUUAAGGUGCCAGAAUAUACGCUCAUCAGACACCACAAAAGGUGUUAGUUCAUCUAGACAGCAGGACGGUGGCCAUGGAAGUCGGAAUCCGCUAAGGAGUGUGUAACAACUCACCUGCCGAAUGAACUAGCCCUGAAAAUGGAUGGCGCUUAAGCGUAUUACCCAUACCCCGCCGCUGGGGCAAGAUUUAAGCCCCAGCGAGU
rnacentral:rRNA from 1 species